rnacentral:rRNA from 1 species
GCACAAGCAGCGGAGCGUGUGGUUUAAUUCGAUGUUACACGAAGAACCUUUACCAGGGUUUGACAUGCAAGUGGUAGGAAACCGAAAGGUGACCGACCCUUCGGGAGCUUGCACAGGUGCUGCAUGGCUGUCGUCAGCUCGUGUCGUGAGAUGUUCGGUUAAGUCCGCUAACGAGCGCAACCCUCGCUGUGUGUUAUAUGUGUCACACGGGACUGCCGGUCUUAAGCCGGAGGAAGGUGGGGAUGAUGUCAAGUCAGCAUGGCCUUUAUAUCCUGGGCUACACACACGCUACAAUGGCCAGCACAGUAGGUUGCUAAGCCGCGAGGUGGAGCCAAUCCAUAAAGCUGGUCUCAGUUCAGAUUGCAGGCUGCAACCCGCCUGCAUGAAGAUGGAGUUGCUAGUAACCGCAGGUCAGCUAUACUGCGGUGAAUACGUUCCCGGGGCUU